rnacentral:lncRNA from 1 species
UUUUACGAUUAAGAAGCAAUUGACUCUUGUACAGAUUAUAAAUUAAUUUACUAUAAAUACAGUAUACUUUGUUUUUAUUUUGGGCAAUUAUUGCGUUUAUUCGACUGAUCCACAAACUGCGAAAAUCCCUUUUUUUCCUAUCUCUAUCCCGAUGAGCCGAAACCAAAGCUUUUAUUUUCUGUUGCGAAAUAGUUCGAAUAAGUUUUGAAUGAGCUCCGCGAAAGCUUGAUGUAAAUAAACUCAUUUUUGUCCUCCGUUUUCGAGCGAUAGAUCCUCGUUUAACUCUGGUCAUUGAAUAAGUGAGACUUUGAUGAAUAACUAUUUUCUUUUUUUCUUUCGGUUAUUCUUUUAUCCUUACCUAGUCUAUUAAUAACAAAAUGGAUUUUUCCAAUGUAUAAAAUAAAAAUUCCAAUGGCUUUUGCUGCUAUAACCUUCCCAACCACGAUUUUUUUUUCUAAGUAUUUAACCUCUUAAUAAGAAAUUCUAUUGAUACUAGGUAUUCAAAAAAGCAUAGUUAAUUUAAUAGAAAUAGACAAAGAAAUGGUGGGUUCCAUCGUUUCUAUGAUU